rnacentral:rRNA from 1 species
UCUGGUUGAUCCUGCCAGAGGCCACUGCUAUUGGGGUUCGCUUAAGCCAUGCGAGUCGAGAGACUUCGGGUCUCGGCAUACUGCUCAGUAACACGUGGAUAACGUACCCUCAGGACAGGCAUAAUCUCGGGAAACUGAGGCUAAUACCUGAUUAGUUAUAGAAUGCUGGAAUGCUUCUAUAUCCAAAUGCUCCGGCGCCUGAGGAUCGGUCUGCGGCUUAUCAGGCUGUAGUGAGUGUAACGGACUCACUAACCUUCGACGAGUACGGGCCUUGGGAGAGGUCGCCCGGAGAUGGACUCUGAGACACGAGUCCAGGCCCUACGGGGCGCAGCAGGCGCGAAAACUUGGCAAUGCGGGAAACCGCGACCAGGGAACCCCAAGUGCUAGCACACUGUGUUAGCUUUUCUUCAGUCUAGAAAGCUGGAGGAAUAAGGGCUGGGCAAGACUGGUGCCAGCCGCCGCGGUAAUACCAGCAGCUCGAGUGGUGGUCGAUAUUAUUGGGCCUAAAGCGUCCGUAGCCUGGUUGGUAAACCCUUGGGUAAAUCGUAGAGCUUAACUCUACGACUUCCGAGGAGACUGCCAACCUUGGGACUGGGAGAGGUCGGAGGUACUCAUGGGGUAGGGGUGAAAUCCUGUAAUCCUAUGGGGACCACCAGUGGCGAAGGCGUCCGACUGGAACGGGUCCGACGGUAAGGGACGAAGCCUAGGGGCACAAACGGGAUUAGAUACCCCGGUAGUCCUAUGGUGUAAACGCUGCGGGCUUGGUGUUGGGGGUCCUACGAGGGCGCCCAGUGCCGGAGAGAAGUUGUUAAGCCCGCCGCCUGGGGAGUACGGCGGCAACGCUGAAACUUAAAGGAAUUGGCGGGGGAGCACAGCAACGGGUGGAGCGUGCGGUUUAAUUGGAUUCAACGCCGUAAAACUCACCGGAGGCGACGGUUAUAUGAAGGCCAAGCUAAUGACUUUGCCAGAUUUUCCGAGAGGUGGUGCAUGGCCGCCGUCAGUUCGUACCGUAAGGCGUUCUGUUAAGUCAGAUAACGAACGAGACCCCUACCUUUAAUUGCUAUUUCUUUCUUCGGAGGGGAAGCACAUUAAAGGGACCGCUGGUGCUAAAUCAGAGGAAGGUGGGGGCAACGGUAGGUCAGUAUGCCCCGAAUCUUCCGGGCUACACGCGCGCUACAAAGGACAGGACAACGGGUUGCGACCUCGAGAGAGUGGAGCCAAUCCCGAAACCUGUUCAUAGUUCGGAUUGAGGGCUGUAACCCGCCCUCAUGAAGCUGGAAUCCGUAGUAAUCGCGAGUCAACAUCUCGCGGUGAAUAUGCCCCUGCUCCUUGCACACACCGCCCGUCAAACCAUCUGAUUUGGGUCUGGGUGAGGGCUUGUCUAAGGUGAGCUCGAACCUGGGUUCAGAGAGGAGGGUUAAGUCGU